UUGGAGGGCAAGUCUGGUGCCAGCAGCCGCGGUAAUUCCAGCUCCAAUAGCGUAUAUUAAAGUUGUUGCAGUUAAAAAGCUCGUAGUUGAACCUUGGGUCUGGCUGGCCGGUCCGCCUCACCGCGUGCACUGGUCCGGCCGGGCCUUUCCUUCUGGGGAGCCCCAUGGCCUUCACUGGCUGUGGGGGGGAACCAGGACUUUUACUUUGAAAAAAUUAGAGUGUUUAAAGCAGGCUCGCGCUUGAAUACAUUAGCAUGGAAUAAUGAAAUAGGACGUUGA
rnacentral:rRNA from 1 species